CCUGGGCUCUGUGAGGCCUGGCCAGCAGAGGGCACGGUCCUCUAUAUUCUGGAGACCGGAGGCUGAAGAGAGCAGCUUUGGGGACCUUUGCGGCUCUAACUCAGCCUCUCCAAGCUGCAGGGAGCCACCGAGGAGCUGGGUGAGAGCUCGGGAGAUGAGGGUAUCCCGAGAUCCCGAGGGAAUUUCACAGAGCUGGCCCCUCCUCUGAUACGGGUCCUGCAGCAUGCCCCCCCCCCCCCAGGCUGGGCACACAGAUGCUCCUCUGUCAUCAGUCCUGGCCUGGCCCGGUUCUUCUGUCCCAGGAACAGACCAGAGUCCUAGGACAGCCCCCUGCCCCCGGCCCGCGGGAGGGCAGCGGGAGAACUCAGGGCCAGGCCUGCGGGACCGUUUGCCUUCGCGGGCAGGGUGACGGGCAGCAGGUCGGGCAGUUUCAUGUUUCUGUUGACGGAUGCUGCUGAGCACCUCAUGACGUGCCAGCCACGGUGGCGAGCACGGGGUGAGCCCAAACACCACGACGGCCCGUGCCACAUGAGCUGUGCUGUCAGCUGGGAAGACACGUUCGACGCGGACUUUCAUGACGUGUCCAAAUUACAAAUGCGGCGCCCCCUUGCCGAGGCCUAAGUUGAACGCUUCCCGGUUCCACACACCUGCAGCCCUUUCAGCUCCAGGGAGGCUCCUUCCUGUCCAUCCUUACUGUUUCCAGCACCGCUUUCCGCUCACGUCCUGCGUGUCCCUCUGCUCUCUCUGUGUUGGGAGUGGACUCCGCAGAAAGGCAUUCCAUGUUGCGGGGCCUCGGAAUGUCUUGGAACUGAGCGGUCACUCAGGACGUGGUUUAUCUGUCCGGCUCCAGGGUUCCCAGCAGGGUCCCAAGGACAACAACGAUGAGCCAGGGAGAAGGCAAAAUGGGUUUAAAUAUGACAGUUUUUUUGGGGAAACGCCUGGGGGGGGGGGGUGGCAGGAUGGAGCUGGUGCCGUAUCUCCACCUGAGACUCAGAAAGGCUGUGCCCUCCGAAGCCAGGAUGUGCCCGAAGUCGCCUGUUUGCACGGGCUUCCCGCGCUCACACUCAGGUGCUUGUUGCUUAAGAGCUUCCCACUCUGUCCGAAUCCCGGUCAUCUGAACAAAAUGUGAGUCCCUGCUUGGUGACAGACCAGGCUGGAGGGUGUGGGGGCUCAGAAGCCUCAGCCCAGGACACCCCAGCUGGAAGCAGCCACCUUUCCUGCUCACCUGCUCUGUCUGGCCUCGUCUGUUUCCACCUCCCACCUGCCCCCAUGGCAGCUGAGGUGUCACAGGCAGGACACUUACUCGACGGCGCAGCCUCUUCCGUGCGUUUCCACACACCUCUGAGACUCAGGUUGUGUAGCUUUUGAGGGUCUGAGAAAGGUCCCCGAGGGGUGACGUGCUCCCGGGAGAAGGCUCCUUGUGUGUGAAGGGUUGGACAGUGGGUGGAAAGGGCCCAGCUGCACGUGGCGGCCAGCUCGUCGUUGCGGAGGCCCACAGAGCUUGGCUUGUGCGGUGCACAUGGACUUGCAUGAAGAAUGCAAUUUCUGAAUUAUACCCCUGCCCUUGCCCCAGACACACUGCCUGAGGAAGAGCACUGUGAGCGCUGCCCCCACCCAGCCUCAUCCCUCCUGCUCCCAAGGAGUUGGCCAGGCAGGUUUGAGAUGCACACAGGCUGUGGGAGGGCAGAGGGAGGCUGGGAGGCUCUGGCUUCUGGGAUCAGCCUCAGCCACUUUUGUUUUGAGGAGUUCAGGUAAUGGAUAAGGAGGACACGCAGCUUUUCCGUGGGUGCUUAGAGCUGAUAGAGAAGCUUGCAGGUAUCAAACCAGGAUAGGUUUCAAGACUGGAAGCAAGGAGAACUUUGCCAUAUAAAGUGAGAGGCUACAGAAUUCUGGAAGAACAAGGGGAUCAAAUAAGAUUUUAAGAAGUGGUUUUCUGCUUCAUCCCCCUUGGCAUUCUUCCAGAUAUUUGAGUGAAAACUGACACUAACGUUUCACAUUUUGAUUUUGGGGCUUUGUUCUUUGGAGUGUGACUCCAUGUGCAGACCAGACAAUACGAAAUUCCUGUUUGUAUUUGGGUUACACACACAGCACAUGCACAUAAACACCACACAUACAGCACAUGUAUCACACACACAGCAUAUACAUCACACAUAGCACACAUGUAUCAUACAUAUGCCACACACAUCACACAUGCCACACAUCACAUACACACACGUCACACGCACACACACACCACACACAACACACAUGCCACACACACAAAAGGAACCACUCUGAGAGAUGCACUUUUCAGAUGAGAACUGAGAUUUUUCAUCAUAACUUGUAAUACGUACAUCAAUACAUCAAAUACAUUUGACCUGUUGUUCAUUCAUCUAUCUGCCAGGUGGAUUAAAAUGCAGUCUUACUCCUUUUCUGACUCAUUUAUUCUCUCCUAGGAGAAGUCAUUUGUACUCCAGCUACUUUUAAAAGGCAUGAAGCCCAGGCUAAAGAAAGCCUCCUCUCUGGUUGAAAUUCCACAGUGAAGCCUGGUCCAGAAAUAAAUCACAAAAAUAGACAGUCUUUCCUCAUCCGCUGUAGAGGGCACAGUGGACAGAGCGUGUCACAGUAAAGCUUCUUACCAGGGACCAUGUCGGCUCCGGGUGAGACUAUCAGCGAGCAGGCCAGCCACACUGUGGAGCAGCUGCCCAGGAGCGGGGAGCGCGACAUGCCAGGGAAAGUAAAAUCCAAUAACAAGAUGGAUGAGCCUUCUUGGCUCCUGUCUUGUACCUAAUUACCCAGAGGAAAGGCUGACAAUGGAGACUGUAAAUUGUGCCUGGAAAACAAUCCUGGGUGGGGCCCUCCCUUUCUGUGUUCAGAGGCCAGGCCUCCGGGCCAGCCUGCUGCUUUCCUAGGCUGGUUUCUCCAGGGCCAGCUGGGGUCUCCUUGGAAGCAGCCUCUUGAAACACUCUUUCCUGCUCCAAGUGCCCUGCCCACGUUUCCUCAGCAUUUCCCUUCUCUGAGUGAGGCCUCACCCCCUUCCUGUUUUCCUGGCCCUUAAUGACUCCAGCCCAGGGAAGGCAAAGGUUGUCCGAUCCCUCUUCUUUGUUUUUACUCUCUGUACCUGCCUGGGCCCCAGGCCCCAGCCACGAGAGGAGCAGCUGUUUCAGGACCCGUGGCUCACCCCAGCGAGGGUCUGCGGCUGGUCACACCUGCACGGGGGCAAAGUAGCUGAGUCACUGGUCACCCACCCACCCAGGCUUUCGUGGCUUUCAGUGAGACACCAGCUUAACAGCGUCCAGAUAGGAAAGGAAAGCAUGGCGAAAAAACAAUAAACAGGAUGGGAUUUCUAGUUUGCAGGCUCUGCUUCUGUAAAACACCAACAUUGUCAAAGGGAAAUUCUGGACAUUCAUGCAAAAUGUGCUUGUCCCUAGUUAUGGACCACGCUGUGACCUAUGUUCCUCAGAUGUUGGCAGUGGUGCAACCUGUUUUCCAGAAUUGCUACCAUGCCGGGUAGAGAAUGACGAUAAGUGGUUUCUUACUUGAAGAAACGUAACUGUGGGCGGGCAAAGUACCUGGGGUCUGGCCCCAUGGUUUGGUUAUCCCCCUGAAGAGGGUGGCAAGGGAGAUCCUCCCUGGGUGCGAUGCAGGGAAGCAAGGCUGAGCGGCCGGGAGGACCGUGGGGGCAUCUGGCCUUUUCCCUAUUGCCCUCCAGACCUCAAAUUCUGUCCUCCGUGUAGACACGCAGGCUGGAAGGAGCUUCAGAGCCAAGGCAAGGCCAUCUGGGAUUUCUCCAUCCCUACUCUCUCUGGAUCAACACAGUUGUAUUUCCACUGACUAAAUAUUUAAGGACAUUCUCAAAACAGAAGCUGCUCCUGGGUCGGUGGAGAUGUAAGUCAGCAGGUGGAGAGGACUUCCUGGGCAUUGGUGGCUAUUUCUUGACGAUGAGUCACACAGACUGUCACAUGCUCUUUCUUUCUUUGAAGAUUUUAUUUAUUUAUUUGAGAAAGAGCAUGAGCAGGGGGGAGCUGGAGAAGCAGACUCCCUGCUGAGCAGGGUGCCUGACCCAGGCUCCAUCCCAGGACCCUGAGCCAAAGGCAGACGCUUAACUGACUGAGUCACUCAAGUGUACAACCCACCACCCCCCCGCCUUUUCUUUCUAGUGCAGGCAUUUUCUUGUCCUUGAAUCUCAUUUCAUCUCAUUUCAUCCCCUGGAUGGUGCUGGAAGGAAGCCAAAAGCUAAUCUCACCAUUUUGUUGAAACUGAAGCUCAGAGAAAUCAAAUCAUUCACCCAAAUUGACACGUGCAUUCAGCAAACAUUUACAGAUCAUCUGCUGGGGACCAGGGACUAUAGUUGGCCUUGGGCAUAUGAGGACAAAAAGCAACAGCAUCCUUUGUUUUCCUGGCUCCUACAGGCUGCACCCAGGGCUUCCUGAGAGUGGGGAGGAUUUGACAAGCUAAUCAGAAUGGGACGGGAAGCAAAAAUAGCAUUUCUCCACUGUCACUUUCCAAAUGAACUGAGCUGUCCUUUAGAGACUUUGCUGCCUCAACAAGAUGCACCACGGAGCAAGGGCUUGCUUCCAUCACAGGAGAGGAGCCGCAGCAGCACCACCUCGGGCCUCACAGGAGCCCAGGGAGCUGCAGGCUGCAGAGAAUCAGAACACGGUAAAACAUGUUUAGCCCCAUGACGGGAAGGAAAGAUUCAGAAGACACAGGGGUUCUACAGGGCUUUGGGGAGGAAAUGAUAUAAUGUGCACGAAAGAGAUUUUUUUUAAAUGCUUUUCCUAUUUUUUUUUUCAUUGGAAUCAAAAGUGCUUUUUCAGGACGGGUUAAAACAUUCAUCAAAUGCAAUUUGUACUGUUUUAUUUUCUACAAGGAUUGAGGAAUAUUAUAACAACAGAAGCAGAGAGAUUAAGAUGAGUAAAAUAUAAAGAUGCAAAGUAAGCAUCAUGCCCUCAUGGGAAGGGAGACAAAACCUUAAGAUAAACUCUAUUCUUGAAUGACUGUUGAUUCAAGCAUAUAACUUCUGUCUGAGUUCCCUGGUAGCCGGGGGGAGGGAGGAAUGCCAUGAGUUUGUGACUUUUCUUCAUUAGCUAACUCAAGAAUGCUAGGCCAAUCACGAAGAGACACACUUCCCUCUGCACUGGAUUCUAGAGGGCAUCCUUCCCAAACCUCUGUAGAAAACACUGUAAAUGCAGCUGGGGGCUUCGACUGUUUUUAAUUUGACUAGAAAUUGUGUCCAUCUGUUCAUUUAUUGUAGCCAAGCAUUAGUAUUAAAAGCCUUUGAAUUCGCA